rnacentral:rRNA from 1 species
GAUGAACGCUGGCGGCGUGCCUAAUACAUGCAAGUCGAACGCUGAAGGAGGAGCUUGCUCUUCUGGAUGAGUUGCGAACGGGUGAGUAACGCGUAGGUAACCUGCCUGGUAGCGGGGGAUAACUAUUGGAAACGAUAGCUAAUACCGCAUGACAACAGUUAUUGCAUGAUAACUGUUUAAAAGGGGCAACUGCUCCACUACCAGAUGGACCUGCGUUGUAUUAGCUAGUUGGUGAGGUAACGGCUCACCAAGGCGACGAUACAUAGCCGACCUGAGAGGGUGAUCGGCCACACUGGGACUGAGACACGGCCCAGACUCCUACGGGGGGCAGCAGUAGGGAAUCUUCGGCAAUGGACGGAAGUCUGAACGAGCAACGCCGCGUGAGUGAAGAAGGUUUUCGGAUCGUAAAGCUCUGUUGUAAGAGAAGAACGAGGGUGAGAGUGGAAAGUUCACACUGUGACGGUAUCUUACCAGAAAGGGACGGCUAACUACGUG